CGGUUUGGUCAGUCCUCCGGGAAAUCUGAUAGCUCAACUAUUAGGCUUUCGGGGGAUACUGCCAGACUUGGAACCGGGAGAGGUAAGAGGUACUACAGGGGUAGGAGUGAAAUCUUGUAAUCCCUGUGGGACCACCUGUGGCGAAGGCGUCUUACCAGAACGGGUUCGACGGUGAGGGACGAAAGCUGGGGGCACGAACCGGAUUAGAUACCCGGGUAGUCCCAGCCGUAAACGAUGCUCGCUAGGUGUCAGGCAUGGCGCGACCGUGUCUGGUGCCGCAGGGAAGCCGUGAAGCGAGCCACCUGGGAAGUACGGCCGCAAGGCUGAAACUUAAAGGAAUUGGCGGGGGAGCACAACAACGGGUGGAGCCUGCGGUUUAAUUGGACUCAACGCCGGACAACUCACCGGGGACGACAGCAAGAUGUAGGCCAGGCUGAAGACCUUGCCUGGAUCGCUGAGAGGAGGUGCAUGGCCGUCGCCAGUUCGUACUGUGAAGCAUCCUGUUAAGUCAGGCAACGAGCGAGACCCGUGCCCACUGUUACCAGCAUAUCCUCCGGGAUGAUGGGUACUCUGUGGGGACCGCCGGUGUUAAAUCGGAGGAAGGUGCG
rnacentral:rRNA from 1 species